rnacentral:rRNA from 1 species
CGUGUAGGCGGUCCGCUAAGUCUGAUGUGAAAGCCCGGGGCUCACCCCCGGAAGGGCAUUGGAAACUGACGGACUCGAGUCCCGAAGAGGAGGGUGGAAUUCCUGGUGUAGCGGUGAAAUGCGUAGAUAUCAGGAGGAACACCGGUGGCGAAGGCGGCCCUCUGGACGGUGACUGACGCUGAGACGCGAAAGCGUGGGGAAGCAAACA